UUUAUUUCUUUUUUGUUGUUUACUUGUUGUUUCCCACACUCCCCCAAAGGGUACUUUGAAAUCUUUCCAGUUUUUACAAUUAAACCUAACCAUCUGGACAAAAAUCUUCACAUUCACUAAAUUAGUCACAGAUUUUGUGGGUAAGCUGAGAAAGUAAAUGCUAUGCUCAGUGCUAGGAUUUAAACCACAUCUACCACAGCAAAACACUCUCUCUCCAAUAAUCUCUCCAAUUAUGCACGCACAUUCAGGCUCAAAUAACAUGGAAGCAACUACACCUCACUGCACAGAUUUGUACAAUUAGUAUUAUUCCUUAGAUCCUGAAGCAACAACAAAUCCAAAGUAAAAUUAUUCAAAAAGCUUUCAGAAUUUAUUUUACAGACAAAAGAUAAAACAGUACCUAUUUUUUCACCACCAUUUAACUUCCUCCUACUACUGGUGUGUGCUGG
rnacentral:lncRNA from 1 species